rnacentral:rRNA from 1 species
CCUANGGGAGGCUGCAGUCGAGAAUAUUCGACAAUGGGCGAAAGCCUGAUCGAGCGACGCCGCGUGCAGGAUGAAGUGCUUCGGUAUGUAAACUGCUUUUGUAGACCAGAAAGUUUAUUGAUCGGUCUAAGAAUAAGAGGUUGCUAAACUCGUGCCAGCAGCAGCGGUAAUACGAGUGCCUCGAGCGUUAUCCGGAAUCAUUGGGCGUAAAGGGUGUGUAGGUGGUCUUAUUAGUCUUCUGUUAAAUUUCUCGGCUUAACCGGGAACCUGCAGGGGAAACGGUAAGACUCGAGGAUGCGAGAGGUUAACGGAACUCAUAGUGUAGCGGUGAAAUGCGUUGAUAUUAUGGGGAACACCAAAUGCGAAGGCAGUUAACUGGAGCACUCCUGACACUGAAACACGAAAGCGUGGGUAGCGAAUGGGAUUAGAUACCCUUNUANUC